rnacentral:rRNA from 1 species
AUUGAACGCUGGCGGCAGGCCUAACACAUGCAAGUCGAACGGUAGCACAGAGAGCUUGCUCUCGGGUGACGAGUGGCGGACGGGUGAGUAACGUCUGGGAAACUGCCCGAUGGAGGGGGAUAACUACUGGAAACGGUAGCUAAUACCGCAUAACGUCGCAAGACCAAAGUGGGGGACCUUCGGGCCUCACACCAUCGGAUGUGCCCAGAUGGUGAUUAGCUAGUAGGGGGGGUAAUGGCUCACCUAGGCGACGAUCCCUGGCUGGUCUGAGAGGAUGACCAGCCACACUGGAACUUGGACACGGUCCAGACUCCUACGGGAGGCAGCAGUGGGGAAUAUUGCACAAUGGGCGCAAGCCUGAUGCAGCCAUGCCGCGUGUAUGAAGAAGGCCUUCGGGUUGUAAAGUACUUUCAGCGGGGAGGAAGGCGGUGGAGUUAAUAACUUCACCGAUUGACGUUACCCGCAGAAGAAGCACCGGCUAACUCCGUGCCAGCAGCCGCAGUAA